UACGUAGGGUGCAAGCGUUAAUCGGAAUUACUGGGCGUAAAGCGUGCGCAGGCGGUUUUGUAAGUCUGUCGUGAAAUCCCCGGGCUCAACCUGGGAAUUCGCGAUGGAGACUGCAAGGCUAGAAUCUGGCAGAGGGGGGUAGAAUUCCACGUGUGAGCAGUGAAAUGCGUAGAGAUGUGGAGGAAUACCGAUGGCGAAGGCAGCCCCCUGGGAUAGCACUGACGCUCCAUGCACGAAAGCGUGGGGAGCAACAGGAUAG
rnacentral:rRNA from 1 species